rnacentral:snoRNA from 1 species
CCCCUCUCAGGGUCACACCUGGAGAGUUUCCAGUACUCUACCAGUCUCGACAGUAGGAGGGAGAGUCAAGCAGAGGCCUACCCAUUCCAUUUCUAGCUUGGGCAGUGGCUAGCGAGUGGAAGGCAAUCUGCUACAAGU